rnacentral:rRNA from 1 species
GAUCCUGGCUCAGAACGACGCUGGCGGCGUGCCUAACACAUGCAAGUCGAGCGAGAAAGCCCGCAAGGGUGAGUAAAGCGGCGAACGGGUGCGUAACACGUGGGUAAUCUGCCCUAGAGUCCGGAAUAACUCGCCGAAAGGCGUGCUAAUGCCGGAUGAGACCACGGGAGCCUCGGCUCCUGCGGGAAAAGGUGGCCUCUGUACACAAGCUAUCGCUCUGGGAUGAGCCCGCGGCCCAUCAGCUCGUUGGCGGGGUAAUGGCCCACCAAGGCUACGACGGGUAGCUGGUCUGAGAGGACGAUCAGCCACACUGGAACUGAGACACGGUCCAGACUCCUACGGGAGGCAGCAGUGGGGAAUCUUGCGCAAUGGGCGAAAGCCUGACGCAGCAACGCCGCGUGUGUGAUGAAGGUCUUCGGAUCGUAAAGCACUGUCGCGAGGGACGAAUAAGGGGCGGGCUAACAUCCCGUUCCGAUGACGGUACCUCGAGAGGAAGCACCGGCUAACUCUGUGCCAGCAGCCGCGGUAA